AAGGUUGUGAUUAGUUGAUUUAGUUUUCUGCUUUGUCCUAAUCAAGAUGAUUACAAUUAAAUCUUGAUUGGUUCCUCUUGAUAAUCAACUAAAUCAUCAACAAUUAAUGAUAAUCUUAAACCUCUUAAGGUUAUUAAUGAAUUACAAACAAUCAAAUUAACUGUCAAAGGUUGACGAUUUAAAAUUAAAUUAACUAAUUAUUAUUAUAUUAAUAUUUUCAAUUUUAAUUCAUGAUUGAAAUUCAAUUCAUUGCCAGACAAUUAAUCACAAUAAUUUAAAUCAACAAUCAAAAGUUUAUUUGAUUGUUACUCAAUACCAGUGGUACUGUUAAUUAGUUGGUUACUAGUUGAUUAAUUAACCAGCAUCAGUAAAUUAAUCACAAUUAACAGAGGUAACCAUAGGGUCCUUGACCCUAACUGUUUAGUUGAUUGUAAUUAAAUUACAAUGGUAACAAUUUAAUUGUGUUUAAUUCAAUUGUCUCUCUCUCUCCUUGUGAAGGAAGUAAUUAUCUUCUUGACAUUGUGAUUAGCAAAUUGUUAAUCAACGUUUUCUGAUGAUUAACAAAUUGAUCAAUUUUAUCCCAAAUGAUUAGUUGAUUAAUAUUGAUUUUAUUUUCUCUCUUUUCUUGUUUCUAUUUACUGUUAAUUAUCAAAAACUGUACAACGUUUAAUCAAUCAAUUGAUUGUUAAUCUCAACAAGUUUUGAUUGUCUUACCCACUUGAUUGGAUUCAAACGUUUCCAUCACAAUUAAUUGUCAUCAAUAUCUUUCCUUUAUUUUUCUCAUUCUCAACACAAUUAAAUUAACACACAGAUACAAUAGUUAAGAUCAACAAUUAGAUAGUAAUUUAGUUCCUAGUUUCUUUGUUAAUAGUGAAACAAUUUGUUAAUCAUCUUAAAAGCUUUCAUGAUAACGAGUUAGAAGGUAAAAUUGAGGGUUAAUUGUGAUUCUCAAAGUUAAUUAAUCACAUUGACAAAACCAACAAUCAACUAAAUGUAUUUAUAGUUAGUAGGUUAAAGUUUUAAAGUCAAUUUUAAAAUUUAAUUGUCCGUUAAUUAAGAGUUGGUUAAGGUUGUUGAUCAAUAUAAUCAACCAAAUUCACCUUAAUAAUAAACCAAAAAAAAUAUCACAAUUUGAUUGGUUAAUUAUUAUUAAUAAUUGAAAUCUGAUCCAAUUAAUUUGAUUAAUUUCCUACAAGGAAGAGACUAAUUUAGCAAAAGUUGAGUUAAUCACUUUCCAUUGAUCAACGUUAAUUGUGAAAAUGAAAACCCAACCUGUUUAUCAGUUUGAAAACUUAAUUAACCGAAAAGUCUGCAAACAAUUAACAGGUUAACAUAGUUAACCUUAACAAUUAAACCCCCGAAAACAAACAAACUAAAGCCCAAUAGUAAAAGUGUCCACGAACAACUAAAACACAAUUAAGUUAAUCAUCAGAUAUAAUACCCUCUAAAUUGAUUAAUUAACCUGAUGUAAAAUUAAACAAUUUAAAAGGUACAACAACAUGGGAUCCAUAUUAAGUUAAUACUGAGCAAAUAGUAAUCAAGGUAAUCAAGAAAAAAGUUAAAACGGAAACAGUUUCUUACACAUAAAAUAAAUUGCUGAGACUGUACUGACGAGAGAGAGAGAGAGAGAGAGAGAGAAAGAUGAUAUAUACACUCAUUUACAGGGUGUCUCUCGGCGUCAACAAUUAAUGGUAUCGGGUAGUAAUUAGUGGAAACUGUGGACUGAUUAACAAACCAUCAGGCUAAUUGUUUGUCACUCUGUAUGUGUGCUGAUAGUUUGAGGCGGAGACUUGAUACUUUUAUCAUGUAUCAAGCCUGCGUGUGCAAUUAAACAUAAACCACCACCACCACUGGUUAACCUGAUUGUAAUUAAAUGAGAGAGGGAGAUGAUGAUGAUGAUGAUGAUGAUGAUGAUACAACAAACAACGAGCAAAUAAUAAUAAUAAAUAAAAGUACAGCUGUUGAUACAAAAAUUAGUUUUUCUCGUUACUUUUCAUUUCUCCAUAGACUUGUCCAUAUGCCUGCAGAGUAAAUAACAGUUAACUACAAAAAGAGAGUGACAAUUCAUUGUAACAAUCAGUUAAUUUACUUGUUAUCUCAUCAUCAUCAUCAUGCUUUUAAUUGUGAUCAGUUAAUUUCUCUCUCUCUCUCUUUCUGAUCUUUGAAUCUUUUUGUUUUUGUUUCUUUUUUUUCUCUUCCAGUUCAACCAGAAUUUUUCUUCUUCUUCUACUACUUCAGAUUACUUGAUCUCUCUCUCUCUUUCUCUCUCUCUCUCUCUCUCUUGUUUCAUCUCCAUGCUGCUAAAUUGUUUGCAAUUUAAAAAUAAAUUGUCGAUCAUCAUUUGUGCUGAUUUGUUGUGCUUUUCGUUACUGGUUCAAUCUACACCUUCGUCUGCUAAGUAGUAGUGCCGCAGGUCGCUAACGGUCAAUCAUUGUGAUCUCAUCUUUGAUUUUCUCUGAUGAUUUUUUGUUUCUCUUAAUUGCUAUUACAUUAACUUCAUCAUCUAGUUGACGAUCACAUUGAAACUGUACUCAUUUAAUUAAAGUCGACCUGCACACCGCUGCUUAAUAGAUUAAGUGUUUAAUUACAAUCUUCUCAAGUAAAAAAGGUUCACCUUAAAUUGAUCAACAUCGCAAAAUGGCAAUUAGAUUGAUCUUCAAUCAUCAAAUGAUUGGAUUUUGCUAACAAAAAUCCAACGUUGCAAUUGAUGUUUGGUUCACCGAAUCACCGACAGAUGGAGCCACAUUUUUAUCGAUCGAUUUUUUGAAAAUUGAUUUAAUUGUUAUGUUAAUUGGUGAAUUGUUUACUGAUUGUGAACCAAUUUUCUCAACAAUUUGGCCAAUUUGAUUUGUUUUCAAGUCAAGUCACUUUUCCUGACAAUUUGAUCUGGUGAAAUUUGAUCCAUUCCCUGGUCAAAGGUUGAUCAUUUAUUUGAUUGAUUGAUUUAUUUUUCCACCACAAUUAAAAACUCUCAAUUAAUAUUAAUAUUUUUACCAUUAAUUUAGAAGCUAAAUUGUUAAUUGUUGUUGUUCACAAUGUUUUCACAACUGUGUUUAUCUAAUAAACUGUUGUUUCCUCCAUAAAAA